AUCGCCUCAUUGUAGAUUCUGGGAUUAUCUGUAUGUUUUCUAUCUUCCAUGAGAAAUGAUUUUCUCUACAUCCUCUGUUAAACAUACUCAAGUACCUUUUCAGAGGAUUGGAGAUCUUACUAUGUGUACGAGGUGGAGGAGAAAUACCUGUCUACUGGCUCAUGAUUAAUAUGUUCUUUAGGUUCCAAGGCUCCCUGCUCUUUAAAGACAUUCUUUUAGAGCUUAACUUUUCUCCCACUGCUUCAUCUUGGUUAAAUAAUU
rnacentral:lncRNA from 1 species